AGAUGAUAUUAAAUUAAUCUGUUUGUUCACAUAGGGAUUACCUGGUGAAAUCGGCGUCUCUGGAAAACCAGGAGAACCAGGAAAACCGGGCCUGCCAGGAAAAGAUGGAUUAGAUGGUUUCCCUGGAAAUGACGCUGAGAAGGGGCAAAGAGGAGAACCCGGACAGGACGGCUUCCCUGGUAAACCAGGACCUAAGGGAGAUGAAGGCCCUCCAGGACCACGAGGACCUCCUGGUGAACGGGGAGAGCCUGGUUUGCCUGGAGAGCUCGGCCCAGUGGGACCCAAAGGAGAGAGAGGAGGUCAAGGAGAGAGAGGACAGGAUGGAUUUACUGGCUCGAAAGGAGAGAAAGGAGACAAGGUGAGAGACAAGAGAAAGUUUAAAAAUGCAGAUAGUAAUCAGUAAUUUUAUUACAU
rnacentral:lncRNA from 1 species